rnacentral:rRNA from 1 species
UACACACCGCCCGUCACACCAUGGGAGCGGGUUCUGCCAGAAGUAGUUAGCCUAACCGCAAGGAGAGCGAUUACCACGGCAGGGUUCGUGACUGGGGUG